UACACACCGCCCGUCACACCAUGGGAGUGGGCUGUACCAGAAGCAGGUAGUUUAACCGCGAGGGGGACACUUGCCACGGUAUGGUUCAUGACUGGGGUG
rnacentral:rRNA from 1 species